rnacentral:rRNA from 1 species
UGGGCUUAACUGAUGACCUAAAUAUCUGAAUGAGGAAAUUCAGCAUUAUUAUGUCAGAUGAUGGCAUAAUGGUGUGCACUUUUCUUCUAGUAAGACGUUGCGAUCCAUUAGAAAUGCUUAAAAUCUGUAUAUAGGCCCGAAUAGGAGUUUAUACAUUAAGCGAGUAACAUGGCUUUGUUGUUAUGUGAAUGCGUGUAAACUAUUUGGUGUUCUUACAGAUGUCUGAUGGUAUUAUGAAUAAAUGUCGCAUACAAUCACUAUAUAUAGUGAUCUCUCGUGUGUAUAUUGCGCAUAUUUUAUCCACCGCUUUAUAUAUUUGAGAUACCCUCGAGACCCCUCGUGAAACAGACACCAAAAUCUCAAUUGUGUGCGCGUCUCUGUGAUAUUAAUAACCCCUAUGCGAAAUGUGAUUUUAUUGUGAUAGUGAUAUUACAUGUGGUGUAAUAUAUACAAUAUUUCUCUCUCCCGGGAUAUCAUAGUGUAUAUAGCGCUCUCUCCCCCGUGUGCUCUACAGAGAUAUCGCGAGCGCACAAACUCUGACCCCGAGAUAUUGAGAUCUAUGUGAGAUCGUGGAGAUCUCGGGGACACUGAGAUGGGAGAGUAUCGCAUCUCACACGUACAUCUAUAGUGUCAGAGGUGUAUAUAGGCGCGAGAGACUCUCGAAUAUCUAUAUGUUUCUUUUUCAAAA